CCUGUUUUACAAAAACAUGUCUUUUUGUAUUUAAUUUAAAGUCUAAUCUGCCCACUGAUUUUUAAUUAAAGGGCUGCAGUAAUUUGACUGUACAAAGGUAGCAUAAUCAUUAGUCUUUUAAUUGAAGACUUGUAUGAAAGAUUUGAUGAGAUAUAAACUGUCUCUUUAUUACAAUUAAAAUUUAAUUUUUUAGUUAAAAAGCUAAAAUAUUUUUAAAAGACGAGAAGACCCUAUAGAGUUUUAUAGUUUUUAUUAUAAAAUAUUUAUAUAAAAUUUUAAUGUUAUAUUAUAAAAAUUAUUUUGUUGGGGAGAUAAAAAAAUUAAAUAAACUUUUUUAAAUAUUUUCAUGAAUAAUUGAGUAAUUGAUCCAUAUUUAUUGAUUAAAAGAAAAAAUUACCUUAGGGAUAACAGCGUAAUAUUUUUUUUUAGUACAAAUAAGAAAAAAAGUUUGCGACCUCGAUGUUGGAUUAAGAUAAAAUUUAAAUGUAAAAGUUUAAAAUUUUGAUCUGUUCGAUCAUUAAAAUCUUACAUGAUCUG
rnacentral:rRNA from 1 species